rnacentral:lncRNA from 1 species
GGGCAUGCCAGGAGAGACCAAAAUUCCAAAAUGGCAAUGACUUUGAGAAGCAAGGGAAGAAAAGAGACGUGAUCACACCACGUGGAAAGAGCUGAGAAGAAGUGAAGAAUCCUGCCAAGCAAGAGCAGUAUGUGCAUAAGAGAACGAGGCCCUAGCCCAACAUGCCCUUCCUCCGACAUCCAUCCAAGGCACACCUCACAGGUCACCUGCCAUGUUCAUUCUGGAGAAAACACAGCUUGAUACACAGGGAGGGUGCCAUGUGAAGAUGAAAGCAGAGAUUGAAGUGAUGUGACUACAAGCCAAGGAAUGCCAAAGAUCGCCAGCAAACCAGAAGCUUGGGGAGAGGCCUGGAACAGAUUCCGCCUUAGCCCCAAGAAGGAACUCAUGCUGCUGACACCAUGAUCAUGGACUUCCAGCCUCCAGAACUGUGAGAUAAUAAGUAUCUGUUGUUUGAACCUCCCAGUUUGUGGUACUUUGUUAUGGCAGCUCUAGCAAACGCAUACACCAUUGUCAUCUUUGAUAACCCUGUGACUCCUCCUCUCCCUCUCUUCCUGGUGCCUUCCUCCAAGGGUAUCCUGCAGGCAACUGGAGCAGCUGCUUGGAGGGAUGCACAAAAGAAAUGCCAAAACCACAGUGAGGUCCCGUCUCACACCAGUUACAAUAUCUAUUGUUACAAAGUCAAAAAAUAACCAUUCUGGUGAGGUUGUGGAGAAAAAGGAAUGCUUUCACACUCUUGGUGGGAGUGUAGAUUAGUUCAGUCAUUGUGGAAGAUAGUGUGGCAAUUCCUCAAAGACCUAAAGACAGAAAUACCAUUCGAUCCAGUGAUCCCAUGACUGAGCAUACACCCAAGGAAUAUAAAUCAUUCUGUUAUAAAGAUACAUGCAUGUGUAUGUUUAUUGCAACACUAUUCUCAAUAGCCAAUACAUGGAAUCAACCUAAAUGUCCAUCAGUGGUAGACUGGAUAAAGAAAAUGUGGUAUAUAUACACUAUGAAAUACUAUGCAGCCGCAAAAAGGAACAAGAUCAUGUCCUUUGCAGCAGCCUGGAUGGAGCUGGAGGCCAUUAUCCUCAGCAAACUGACGCAGGAGCAGAAAACCAAACGCUGUAUGUUCUCACUUAUAAGUGGGAGCUAAAUGAUGCGAACACAUGGACACAGCGAGGAGAACAACACAACAAUAGGGCCUACUGGAGAAUGGAGGGCGGGAGGAGGGAGAGGAUCAGGAAAAAUAACUAAUGGAUACUAGGCUUAAUACCUGGGCGAUGAAAUAAUCUGUAUAACAAACCCCCAUGAUAUACAUGUUUACCUGUGUAACAAACCUGCACAUCCUGCACAUGUACCCCUGAACUUAAAAUAAAAGUUAAAAA